ACUGAUGGCAUGAAGCUCACUUCCAGGGACUUCCUCGGUGGCACAGUGGUUAAGAAUCCGCCUGCCAAUGCAGGGGACACGGGUUUGAGCCCUGGUCUGGGAAGAUCCCACAUGCCACGGAGCAACUAAGCCCG